GACGGAGGGUGCAAGCGUUAUCCGGAUUCACUGGGUUUAAAGGGUGCGUAGGCGGGUUGGUAAGUCAGUGGUGAAAUCUCCGAGCUUAACUUGGAAACUGCCAUUGAUACUAUCAGUCUUGAAUAUUGUGGAGGUCAGCGGAAUAUGUCAUGUAGCGGUGAAAUGCUUAGAUAUGACAUAGAACACCAAUUGCGAAGGCAGCUGGCUACGCACAUAUUGACACUGAGGCACGAAAGCGUGGGGAUCAAACAGG
rnacentral:rRNA from 1 species